rnacentral:rRNA from 1 species
AUGAACGCUGGCGGCGUGUCUAAGGCAUGCAAGUCGAGCGAUCCUUCUGUGAUUACAUCAAGGAAGGGUAGCGGCAAACGGGUGCGUAACACCUUGAUAACCUACCUCGAGGCCGUGAAUAACCCCGCGAAAGCGGGAUUAAUACACGAUGGACAAAGGGGGCCAUAAGGCAUUCCUUUGUAAAGUUCCGACGCCUCGAGAGGGGUCUAGGCUCUAUCAGCUAGUUGGUGAGGUAAUGGCUCACCAAGGCUAUGACGGAUAGGGGGCGUGAGAGCGCGACCCCCCUCACUGGGACUGAGACACUGCCCAGACACCUACGGGUGGCUGCAGUCAAGAAUAUUCCUCAAUGCACGAAAGUGUGAAGGAGCGACGCCGCGUGCCGGAUGAAGGCCUUUGGGUCGUAAACGGCUUUUAUAGGGGACGAACAAAUGACGGUACCCUACGAAUAAGUGGUUGCUAACUCUGU